rnacentral:tRNA from 1 species
UAUGGCCAAGUUGGUAAGGCGCCACACUAGUAAUGUGGAGAUCCUCAGUUCAAAUC